rnacentral:rRNA from 1 species
CACGUAAGUUGCGAGCGUUGUUCGGAAUUAUUGGGCGUAAAGGGCAUGUAGGCGGUUUUGAAAGCUUGAUGUGAAAUCCCACAGCUUAACUGUGGAACUGCAUUGAGAACUACGAGACUAGAGUUACUGAAGGGAAACUAGAAUUCCAAGUGUAGGGGUGAGAUCUGUAGAUAUUUGGAAGAAUACCAAUGGCGAAGGCAAGUUUCUGGCAGAUAACUGACGCUGAGGUGCGAAGGUGCGGGGAGCAAACAGGAUUAGAUACCCU